AAACUUGCAGGUUUUUUAAAAAAGUACUCUUGGAGUAAAAAAGAGAACUCUUGGAGUUUUCAACUCAAUUUUAACUUGCUUAAUUCAUGACAUUUACUUGUAUGUGAUAAGUGUUAAUCGUGAUGUACGAUUGUGAUCAUGUUUUCAUUUGAGUGAAGAAAUGAAGGGAAAACUAACCAUGGAGUAUUUGUAUGAGAGAAUGAAAACAACAGACCUUCCUUUUGAUAAGCUUUUAGUUUUAUCCUUUAAAUGUAUCAUGGGAUGGUUGAUUUUGUUUUAGAUUUCUCUUCUGUGUUUGUUUCUUUUUUACAUGUGCUUUUCAUUUGCUAUUUGUAAGUAUUUUUUCCCAUGGAAGAUUUGCUUCGAUCAUAAAUUAUUGCUAUAUCAACCAAAAUAAAGCAUUUAUGUUGUACAUCUUUGAAAUCCAAACUGCCAAAUUUGCUUUACUCUGAUAUUGCGUAUAUGUUAUGUACAUGUGUCCUUAUUCAAUACCUGAGCGUAUCUACGCACAUUUAGGCUUUUCUGUAGGAAACUACUGUAUGUGAACAUGAGGUGCCUUAGUGCAGAGAAUUUGAACAAUGCCUUGAUGUGUGAAAAACAUUUUUCUUUCAAAUCAUCCAUGUAUGUGUUGAAGGAAGAGGUUUGGUAUUAAUUUCAAUAUUUUUAAAAGAUCUUUUAUUUUCUUUUAUUUUGGGUGUUGUUGAUUAUUUAUGCAAUUGACUCUGCUUUUAGCCAUUCUGAAUCUGUUGGUUGGAGGUAUGUGAUCUCGGCUUCUGCUUUUUAUUAUGCAUUUUGGUCAAAGACCACAAAACAGAUUAUUUUAUACAGCAUCAUUGUAGAGCUGAUAGUCAUUUUUUUUUUUUCAACAGUAUCUCGGUAUCUCAUCCUCUUUCAUGACAUGUGAUAAAUCAUUUCCAAAAUGUUAACUGUUAUUGAUGAAAUAAAGGAAAUGCUUACUGUG
rnacentral:misc_RNA from 1 species